GGUUUCCGUAGGUGAACCUGCGGAAGGAUCAUUAACGAGUUUUGAAACGGGUUGUUGCUGGCCUUCCGAGGCAUGUGCACGCCCUGCUCAUCCACUCUACACCUGUGCACUUACUGUAGGUUGGCGUGGGUUUCUAGCCUCCGGGUUGGAAGCAUUCUGCCGGCCUAUGUACACUACAAACUCUUAAAGUAUCAGAAUGUAAACGCGUCUAACGCAUCUUCAUACAACUUUCAGCAACGGAUCUCUUGGCUCUCGCAUCGAUGAAGAACGCAGCGAAAUGCGAUAAGUAAUGUGAAUUGCAGAAUUCAGUGAAUCAUCGAAUCUUUGAACGCACCUUGCGCUCCUUGGUAUUCCGAGGAGCAUGCCUGUUUGAGUGUCAUGAAAUUCUCAACCCAUAAAUCCUUGUGAUCUAUGGGCUUGGAUUUGGAGGCUUGCUGGCCCUAGCGGUCGGCUCCUCUUGAAUGCAUUAGCUUGAUUCCGUGCGGAUCGGCUCUCAGUGUGAUAAUUGUCUACGCUGUGACCGUGAAGCGUUUUGGCAAGCUUCUAACCGUCCAUUAGGACAAUCUUAUAACAUCUGACCUCAAAUCAGGUAGGACUACCCGCUGAACUUAAGCAUAUCAAU
rnacentral:misc_RNA from 1 species